rnacentral:rRNA from 1 species
AGAACCCCGGCGAGGGGAGUGAAAAAGAACCUGAAACCGUGUACGUACAAGCAGUGGGAGCCCCACCACUAAGCCAGUGGUGAACUCCACAUACGCAUCCUUUGCUGAGGAUACGGUUAACGGAGCGAAAGCGACGUUCAACCUCAAAAGAAGCAGAGGGGGCUUCGGGGUGUGACUGCGUACCUUUUGUAUAAUGGGUCAGCGACUUAUAUUCUGUAGCAAGGUUAACCGAAUAGGGGAGCCGUAGGGAAACCGAGUCUUAAUUGGGCGUUAAGUUGCAGGGUAUAGACCCGAAACCCGGUGAUCUAGCCAUGGGCAGGUUGAAGGUUGGGUAACACUAACUGGAGGACCGAACCGACUAAUGUUGAAAAAUUAGCGGAUGACCUGUGGCUGGGGGGGAAAGGCCAAUCAAACCGGGAGAUAGCUGGUUCUCCCCGAAAGCUAUUUAGGUAGCGCCUCGUGAAUUCAUCUCCGGGGGUAGAGCACUGUUUCGGCUAGGGGGCCAUCCCGGCUUACCAACCCGAUGCAAACUGCGAAUACCGGAGAAUGUUAUCACGGGAGACACACGGCGGGUGCUAACGUCCGUCGUGAAGAGGGAAACAACCCAGACCGCCAGCUAAGGUCCCAAAGUCAUGGUUAAGUGGGAAACGAUGUGGGAAGGCCCAGACAGCCAGGAUGUUGGCUUAGAAGCAGCCAUCAUUUAAAGAAAGCGUAAUAGCUCACUGGUCGAGUCGGCCUGCGCGGAAGAUGUAACGGGGCUAAACCAUGCACCGAAGCUGCGGCAGCGAACGUAUCACCCAAGACAACUUUACGGAGUUGACGAUUGACGGAGCGAAGCGACGUCAAAGCGUUCAUUAAAGUCGAGUUGGCUUAGGGAUACGUUCGUUGGGUAGGGGAGCGUUCUGUAAGCCUGCGAAGGUGGCCUGUGAGGGUUGCUGGAGGUAUCAGAAGUGCGAAUGCUGACAUAAGUAACGAUAAAGCGGGUGAAAAGCCCGCUCGCCGGAAGACCAAGGGUUCCUGUCCAACGUUAAUCGGGGCAGGGUGAGUCGACCCCUAAGGCGAGGCCGAAAGGCGUAGUCGAUGGGAAACGGGUUAAUAUUCCCGUACUUGGUGUUACUGCGAAGGGGGGACGGAGAAGGCUAUGUUGGCCGGGCGACGGUUGUCCCGGUUUAAGCGUGUAGGUGUGUGUUCCAGGUAAAUCCGGUUCACUUUAACACUGAGGCGUGACGACGAGGCACUACGGUGCUGAAGCAACAAAUGCCCUGCUUCCAGGAAAAGCCUCUAAGCAUCAGGUAACAUCAAAUCGUACCCCAAACCGACACAGGUGGUCAGGUAGAGAAUACCAAGGCGCUUGAGAGAACUCGGGUGAAGGAACUAGGCAAAAUGGUGCCGUAACUUCGGGAGAAGGCACGCUGACACGUAGGUGAAGUGAUUUACUCAUGGAGCUGAAGUCAGUCGAAGAUACCAGCUGGCUGCAACUGUUUAUUAAAAACACAGCACUGUGCAAACACGAAAGUGGACGUAUACGGUGUGACGCCUGCCCGGUGCCGGAAGGUUAAUUGAUGGGGUCAGCGCAAGCGAAGCUCCUGAUCGAAGCCCCGGUAAACGGCGGCCGUAACUAUAACGGUCCUAAGGUAGCGAAAUUCCUUGUCGGGUAAGUUCCGACCUGCACGAAUGGCGUAAUGAUGGCCAGGCUGUCUCCACCCGAGACUCAGUGAAAUUGAACUCGCUGUGAAGAUGCAGUGUACCCGCGGCAAGACGGAAAGACCCCGUGAACCUUUACUAUAGCUUGACACUGAACAUUGAGCCUUGAUGUGUAGGAUAGGUGGGAGGCUUUGAAGUGUGGACGCCAGUCUGCAUGGAGCCGACCUUGAAAUACCACCCUUUAAUGUUUGAUGUUCUAACGUGGACCCGUAAUCCGGGUUGCGGACAGUGUCUGGUGGGUAGUUUGACUGGGGCGGUCUCCUCCUAAAGAGUAACGGAGGAGCACGAAGGUUGGCUAAUCCUGGUCGGACAUCAGGAGGUUAGUGCAAUGGCAUAAGCCAGCUUGACUGCGAGCGUGACGGCGCGAGCAGGUGCGAAAGCAGGUCAUAGUGAUCCGGUGGUUCUGAAUGGAAGGGCCAUCGCUCAACGGAUAAAAGGUACUCCGGGGAUAACAGGCUGAUACCGCCCAAGAGUUCAUAUCGACGGCGGUGUUUGGCACCUCGAUGUCGGCUCAUCACAUCCUGGGGCUGAAGUAGGUCCCAAGGGUAUGGCUGUUCGCCAUUUAAAGUGGUACGCGAGCUGGGUUUAGAACGUCGUGAGACAGUUCGGUCCCUAUCUGCCGUGGGCGCUGGAGAACUGAGGGGGGCUGCUCCUAGUACGAGAGGACCGGAGUGGACGCAUCACUGGUGUUCGGGUUGUCAUGCCAAUGGCACUGCCCGGUAGCUAAAUGCGGAAGAGAUAAGUGCUGAAAGCAUCUAAGCACGAAACUUGCCCCGAGAUGAGUUCU